CUCUCUCUCUCUCUCGUUGUGGUUGGAUUUGUAUGACGGUUUGGACUGAUUUUCUUCACACAAUGGGUUGAAUCUAUUGUUCUGAUGCAAAAUUUUCAAUAUCUUGUUCGCUCAAACAUAUAUGCAAUUCCCUAUAACUACCUAUAUUUGAUUUAAAUAAUAUUAUUUAUUUACCUUCUUCCAAGUUCUUCUUAUGUUUGAAUGCUUUGUGAUCUGUUAGUCGGAGUUUCACUUUCGUGCAAUGAAACAUAGUGAUUCUGCUACUCCCCACCCAACAUAGUGAUUCUGCCGUGUUUUUGUUGUUCAAGUCGUUGAGGGUGUUUCUAAAAGAGGCGUCUCCUCUCAAUCAUUGGGGCUUUGGUUCCACUUUGUAGUUUUGUUUUUUCUUAUGUCUAGAACAAAUUUUUCUAAACCCUUUUUGCCCUGCAAAGGUCCUGUUGUUAUUUAGGGAUUGUAGACGAUUUACUUAUAUUUUUGACUUUUGGUAUCAUGCAUCAAGUAUAUAGAUUUUCUUGUAAUGCAAGUGCUUGUAAUGAGAGCCAAGAUUGUGGAGGAUUACUUUAUCAUGUUAGGCAAAUGGAUUGUGGUUAUUAGUUGUAAGCCCAUGAUCGGUUCAUUGAAAUUAAGAAUUUAACACAAGCCAGUAAAUUAGGAGUAAUUAGCCCCAAAGUUCUUUUCAUUAUGUCUGUUUUCAAUUAUAGUUAUGAUUUUAGGGUUUUCUUGGAUUACUUAACCAUUACCCCCUCGUUUUGGGAUGCAGUUAUUUUUUUGGGUUUAGAAAUCUACUUCCCCCUCCAACUAUUUCGAUUUUAGUUACUUCCUCCUCCAACUACCAAUUGAAGCUACUUCCCCCUCCAACUUCCAAAACGUUAUUCCCUCCAUCCAAUACCUAACUCCGAUCUAAUUCUUGGCUGGAAAACUCAACACCUCUAACUCCAAAAUGGUUUUGGCACCCUGAAUGUGGUUUUGCCCAUCUGGUUUCACAGCACCAAGGUCCAAAGAAAAGCAAUGCAGUCAGCCAAUCUCACGACCAAUGUUCACUCUGCCAUCACAGCGAUCAUGGCCCACACCCAAGGCCCCCUGUAGAAGGGGAGGUAUAGCUACCAGAGGAAGUGCAGCUAGAAAGGGAGGUGCCCCUUAAAGUUCAGUUUUAUAGUGUCUUUAUUUAGCUAGUAUUUUGGUGUUUUGGUACAGUUAAUGGCUGAAAAAGCCUUCUUUUGCUACUAUUAUGGUUGAAAAAGCCUUCUUUUGCUACUGUUAUGGCUGAAAAAGCCUUCUUUUGCUACUGUUAUGGCUGAAAAAGCCUUCUUUGGCUUAUGUGUUGAUGGCUAUUCAUGCCUCAUUUAGGUACUGUUAUGUUGCUACUAUUAUGUUUGUGGUACUGCUGUGGUCUAUGGAACCAUUAUGGCUAUUUUCAGUCUUCUUAAUUUGUUUAUCAUGGUAUUCAUAUGCUGCUGCUGUAUUUUUUGGAAUGGAGUAUAUGGAUUGGACUGUUUGAAGCUUGAAGCUGGUGCUAUAUUAGGAUAUGGUGCUAUAUUAUGGCUAUUUUUUUUUUGGAAUGGAGUAUAUGGUGCUAUAUUAGUCUUCUCUUAUCUGUAAUCCAUUCAUUCAUUCGGCCUUGCAAUCCAUUCAUACAUUUGAAGCAAAACAGAUUAGGCCUUCUCUAUGGACUGCAUUUAUGUUUAUGGAAUCAUGAAGCAUUAUGCUUGUGGUCUGUUUUGUUUUUCCCUGCAGAAUUUCAGUUUCGAUGCUGUUUUUCCUUUCAGAAUACUGGUUCUUUCUGCUGCUUUUUUUUUGGGUAUAUUAGGAUUGGAAUGCUUAAAGGUUGAAGCUGGUUGGGUGUUGGUUCAACAACAGUCAUUGGACUGCAUUCAUAAAGCUAGGAAACCAGUUUUGUGACUGUCAUGGACUGAAUAUGCUAGGAAAAAACUUCAAACUUCAUUCAUUCAUAUAACAAUCAGUUAUCUAUUUCAGAAAAUGAAGAGGGGAAAAUGCAGAACUGUAACUGUGCCCAGCAUGCCAAUAGAUCAAUAGUUGGCAAGUCCAAACUGUAACUGUGCUGAGUUCUCCAUCUGCAUUCACAAGCUCUCUCUUAUGCCAUUGUCGGUCUUAGGAUUAAACUAAUGACUCGGUCGUACACAAGUUGAAUUGGCAAUGGAGAAUGCAAUUUGGGGUCCUUAGGGCCUUCAUGGAAAGUGAUGCCCUCUCUAUUGACAGUCAGGCGAUCUGUUGGUCAUGAUCCUUAUGGCGGGAGGCUCAAAGAAAUUUCUUUGUAUCUUGGUUGUAUAUUCUUGUUAUGUGAAUGAGACAAUCAGGUUGGCACUGCUCUCUAUCACGAAAGCUCUAUUGUUAUUUGGGUGAUGCAGAUUGAGGAUUAAAGCCCCCCAAAGGUAUGCUUUGGUAACUCGAUGGAUGUAUGAUUUUAUUUCUUGCAUUUUUAUUUCCAUUUGAGGAGUUAGAACUAAUGACUUUACAGUACAGAAUACAGAUACUCAUAGUUCGUCAUUUUGGCUUUCUUCCCAAUGCUACGAUGGGAAAAUACUUUUGGUUGUUCCGCUUAUUUUGUUUGCCAAGCAGCCAAGGCACUCUUACUUUGGUUUUUGGUGUGUUAUGCAACCUGACUCCUUUCCAGUACUAUCGGAUUCACCUUAAAAAAUGGAAUUCUAUAGCUUCUCAUACAAAUUUACUUAAUUUUGUUUGAAGUUAGUUCUGAAUUGGAUAGGAAGUAUCGGUAGUUGGGUUGAAGGACUAGGAAUGGGUUAGAAUGUCGUUGCCUUGGUGAUGCUGCAAUUUCUAUUGCUGUGUUACAUCACCUAAGUACGGAGAGCAGAAGGAAGAAAGCAAUAGAUGAAUUAAUUCGAGUUGUUAAGAAGGGUGGUCUUGUUCUGAUUACUGUUUGGGCUGUGGAACAAGAGGAUAGGUCGUUGGUUAACAAAUGGACCCCACUGAUGGAUAAGUAUGUAGAGGAGUGGAUAGGACCAAGUGACCCUUGUAUGUGCAACCCUCCAUCCUUGACCUUGGAAAGCAUCCAGAAGUUGAGGAAAAUAGUAUGGGAAAAAAUAUCAUGGAUACUUCUUUGAUUACGAAGUUGCCAAAACUAUGCAUGCAACUUCUUGAAGCAAAGGUAAACCUAUUGGCAGCUAAAAAUGGAAAAAAUGUUGAAAACCAGCCAGAGUUUUUCGUCCCUUGGCAUUUGCCUUAUUCACCGUGCUGAAGUUGGUGGAGCUUCGACUUGUGCUCUUGCAAAUGGGUUGGUUAAAAAAGAUGAUAAAAAGAGUGCAGUAGUGUACAACAGAUAUUACCAUACCUUCAGUGAAGGUGAGCUUGAAAGGCUGGUAUCUGACACGAGUAACGCAGUUGUUUAUGACAAAUCAAACUGGUGCAUUGUUCUUGAGAAGACAAUAUGAAGUAUUGGACCUGCUGAAUCAGCCAAUACAACUGAAAUCUUUGUGCAAGAUGGGUCAUUGUUUCAAGGCUAGGGCUCUUGCAAUGUAAACGUUUUCAACAAAAGAAAGGAUCAAGCGCAGACUACUGAUCCCAGAAAGGCACAUGCUAGGAUGUUUUGUCACGGAAGGCAUCCAGAUGGCAAGCGCAUGAUCCUGUGGUUCAGUAUGCGGCGCAUCAUCUUGUCAACUCCAUCCGGUAGAGGUCCAAGUGUCCAACUCAUUAUUCCCUUAAAAUCUUGCGUAGAUCGUUAACGCAAAAGCUGAGACUAUGUUACCUGAAACGCGGAUCAUUUUGGUAUGAGGAACAAGAACGGGAAUGAAGUACGGCACAUGCUUAAAAUGUGUGGUAGCAAAACAGGGCUGUCAUUUUAGGCUAUCAUAGUCUUUGUUUAGUCAGGAGAGGACGCCUAUAUGUGUUACGGUCUCUUUUGUUGCAUCUUGAAGAAUCUCCAGAAUGUUAAUUGAUUUCCCACUACCUUCAGAUGCUGCAGAUAAAAGCUUUCGAUAAAGCUGUGUUGAUGAAGAACCGGGAAAGAUGGUGACAACAAAGGAAAUUUAUGACAUGCUCGAUUGACCUCUAAUUCUCAAAUUCUCAAAUAUUUGGUUGAGCAAGUGUUUCUUAUCAAAGAGAAAGAAGUUGACAUAUCAACCAUCAAAUUUGAAGUUUGGCCAACUUGGAGUAUCUAUUUAUACUUGCAUGUUACAACAAGAGCCGCAAAAAUUCCGAUGAGGUUAAUUGUGCCUAUUAUGUCUCUUCUUCGGCACCAUGGUGAUCUUUAGCCUGGAGUAAAAGGUUGAUUGUGCUUAUUAUGGCGCUUCUUCAGCUGUAUACAUAAGCCUGGAGUAAAAGGUGCUUGUGGGAAGAGUCUUGGGAUACUUCACAAGGUUUUUUGAAAGUGUCUUUCUCCCCCUUUCCUUGUCUUAGUUAAUUCUAGGAUAUCCAUGCCUAAUGACGAAGCAAAGGGUUGUCAUGAAGCAAUAGGACUCCAUACAAAGUAAAAUCGAUUUGGGCUGACCUGGAAAUAUAACACUACAUGUAUUGUUUCGGUAUCACAUUUUUCCAUAAAUUUAGAUAUCUUGCAAUAGGGUUUUGGUCUCUUCUUCUGUUGGAACUAAAAUGUUGCACAAUUGUUUUUUCCUUUCUUGGGCUUUCGUAUGUUAGUACCUAACUUGCUUCUACUCGGCUGUUACAGAUUUACAUCUUUCAUUCGUUGCUUCAUUAAAUGGAUGACUUACUUCA